GGAUAGGAGGGCGAUCUGGCUGCUACAUCUGUCACCCCAUUGAUCGCCAGGGUUGAUUUGGCUGAUCUGGCUGGCUAGGCGGGUGCCCCCUUCCUCCCUCACCGCUCCAUGUGCGUCCCUCCUGAAGCUGAGCACUCGGUCAGUCGAAGAGGACAGCCAUCCGCAAUAGAGGAGGACAGUUCUUCUCAGUCAAGGGUAUAUGAGUAGCUGCACUCCCCUGCUGGAACCUACAAACAAGCUCUCAAAAAUACUGGUUCUCUAAUGGCUCUCUAACAGUGCUAAGCCCAGGUAUUGUUUCUGGGUUUAUUAGAUUCGUUUUGAUU
rfam:Camelus ferus unplaced genomic scaffold scaffold129, whole genome shotgun sequence.